ACCCAUCUGCAACCGCUCAGAGAAAGUUUCUAAGAGUUCUAAACCACUUUUAAUGGCGAGUCUCGGUGUCAGA
rfam:Eremococcus coleocola ACS-139-V-Col8 contig00018, whole genome shotgun sequence.